AUGGCCUCUAGCACGAGGGGAGAAACGACCAUGAAGCUCGGCACCCAACUCGACCUCGAAGUUGUCAACAGGCACAACCAAAGGACGCAAUGCAUGAUCAGACCGCAACACAGGUGGCGCCAUGGAGCGCUCACCAAGUGCAGCCUCAACACGGACCAUGAAGGUCUCCAUCCGCAACAUCCAACCUUGCAUGGAGUCAAUGACAUCACGCAGAGGCUGAACCGUCUCCUGAAGCUAGAGGGAAGUCAUACCAAGGAGCUCAGAGCGCAGCAGCUUGGCCUGGUGCUCCAAGGCAGGUCGCACUGGGAAAUCCGCCGAGGCCAUAGAACCAGUAGGACCAGCAACGAUCGAUGCCCAAGAAUCAUGGCAAAAUGUCUUCGAGAGGUGCGAGGCUUCUUUCUGGACCUUGCGAGGAGCUAG
rnacentral:rRNA from 1 species